rnacentral:rRNA from 1 species
AUCCUACGGUGAGGACAGUAGGGAAUCUUCCACAAUGGGCGAAAGCCUGAUGGAGCAACGCCGCGUGAGUGAAGAAGGUUUUCGGAUCGUAAAACUCUGUUGUAAGGGAAGAACAAGUACAGUAGUAACUGGCUGUACCUUGACGGUACCUUAUUAGAAAGCCACGGCUAACUACGUGCCAGCAGCCGCGGUAAUACGUAGGUGGCAAGCGUUGUCCGGAAUUAUUGGGCGUAAAGCGCGCGCAGGCGGUCCUUUAAGUCUGAUGUGAAAGCCCACGGCUCAACCGUGGAGGGUCAUUGGAAACUGGGGGACUUGAGUGCAGAAGAGGAAAGUGGAAUUCCAAGUGUAGCGGUGAAAUGCGUAGAGAUUUGGAGGAACACCAGUGGCGAAGGCGACUUUCUGGUCUGUAACUGACGCUGAGGCGCGAAAGCGUGGGGAGCAAACAGGAUUAGAUACCCUGGUAGUCCACGCCGUAAACGAUGAGUGCUAAGUGUUAGGGGGUUUCCGCCCCUUAGUGCUGCAGCUAACGCAUUAAGCACUCCGCCUGGAGACGAACG